rnacentral:rRNA from 1 species
GAAUUCGCCCUUCAUGGAGGGUGAGAAUCCCGUCCGGUUGAUCAUUUGCGUUUUACGAUACGCUUUCUAAGAGUCAAGUUGUUUGGGAUUGCAGCUUAAAAUGGGAGGUAAAUUUCUCCUAAGGCUAAAUAACGGCGAGAGACCGAUAGCGAACAAGUACCGUGAGGGAAAGAUGAAAAGAACUUUGAAAAGAGAGUUAAACAGUACGUGAAAUUGUUGAAAGGGAAACGAUUGAAGCCAGUCGUACCUUCGGGUAAUCAGCCUUUCGGGUGCGAUUCUGUGGAGUUUGAGGAGCUUUAACACCUUCAUGCUUUGCAUAUUCGUGCUCUUGGG